UGCUCUUAACUGCUGAGCCAUGCCUCCAGCCCUGGUGGUGUUGUUCUUAUAUCAGUCAGAGUCAGAGCAGAUGGCGGUCCUUUGUUCAUCCUAGCUUGAUGUCUGGCUUGGUGACCAAAGCUGUUUUAUGCCUAGGACACAUAA